rnacentral:miRNA from 1 species
ACUACAGAACUCCCAAAUAAUUGGAAUUGCAGAUAAGCAACUUUUUUUUUCACAUAAAUAUGUCCCAUGUAAGAUUUGGGACAUACUUAUACAAAAAUAAUUGUUGUUUGUCUGAAAAUCGAAUUUAACUGGACAUUCUAUAUUUU